GGCAAGCAGAGCCAACAAAAAUGGGCCCCGGUCUUUAGAGUGUAGUAGUUCAACAAGUGUAUCCUUUGUACACACUGUCAAAAGGUUGCUUGAUCCGCUUCAUCACAAAGCUUAGAAGCCUGCGUGUCAAUUCAAUUGACUGUUCACACAGUCAAAUGGCCUGAACACAGACGUCAGGGAGCUAGGUGUUCCCGUCAACACACCGUCACAGUCUACAUUAGAUUAUCCAAAGAAAACAAAAGAAGAGGAAAACGUACAUGCUUAAACAAAACUGAGUUUUUGUUUAACUGAAAAGAUGGUAUAAACGGUAAACACACUUUUUCGUAAGUAUGUAUGUACGGUGUAUGAGGGUGUAAUUGUUUUAUCGUUUGCAGUUUGUGAUCUGGAUGUUUACUCCGUGGUCUUUACAGUGUUGUACAUUUUGCUCAAUGAGUCCAUACAUUGUUCAGUUCUUGUUUUGCUGUUAGUUUAUUUACAAGUUGUCUACAUAACUUGUAUUCGAUUAUUGUGUUCAGUUGAAAAUAAAUUUUCAGAAUAAAGUUUAGUAAGUGUCAUCUUAUGUUCUAAAAUAUUAUGCAGUACUAGUUUGUUUGUUUUGUUUUUUAGUGGGCUUUGAAGUUUGCAGGUUUGGAAUUUAGUACUGUUUUCUUUAAGUUUUUAGUUUGUAUUAUGUACUUAAAUUCGUUAGU